GGGGGGGGGGGGGGGGGGGGGGGGGGGGGGCAGGGGGGGGGGGCGGGGCGGGGUUGGGGGCGGGGGGGGGAGGGGCACGGGGGAACGGGCCGCUAGGUUCGGAAUAACUCAGGGAAACUUGUGCUAAGACCGACUGUGCCCUUCGGGGGAAAGAUGAAUCGCCCUUUGGGUGGCCCGCGUCUGGUUAGCUAGUUGGUUGAGGUAAUGGCUCACCAAGCCGACGAUCCGUAGCUGGUCUGAGAGGAGGAUCAGCCACAUUGGGACUGAGACACGGCCCAAGCGCCUACGGGAGGCAGCGGUGGGGAAUCUUGGGCAAUGGGCGAAAGCCUGACGCAGCCAUGCCGCGUGAAUGAUGAAGGUCUUAGGAUUGUAAAAUUCUUUCACCGGGGACGAUAAUGACGGUACCCGGAGAAGAAGCCCCGGCUAACUUCGUG
rnacentral:rRNA from 1 species